CGGUCCCAGCCAAACUGCCCGUGUUCAUGUCAUCGUCCAAGGGCACCAAGGUGAACCAGCAGGAGUUAGGUGUUUUGUGUUGCAGGAAACCUAUGCGAACACAUGGAGGAAGAAAGGGCCCAGUCAGCAUGGAUGCAAUGUGUCCCUAAAACACAGCUCUCUUGCUGCCGAAACCCAGAAUCGAACCAGAGACCUUGAGAUCCUUAGUUGAAUUGAUUAAAAAAAUCAUUGAUUCAUUUUACAAAUGACCAACAGAUUCACUGAUAAUGAAAAUAAUCACUAUAAUCACUGAAAUGACAUGUUUUCUAUAAGGUUGUGUUUUGUGAAAUGCUGUAGAGUUUUGUCUUUUGUUAAUUUGUUUUCUCAAAUGUUGUGCUUUGCAUCUCAGAGCUGCCGUACUCAUUAGAGCUUCAGUACAGCGCUCAAUCUAUCUGACCCCAA